rnacentral:rRNA from 1 species
GCUCAGAUUGAACGCUGGCGGCAGGCCUAACACAUGCAAGUCGAGCGGCAGCACGGGUACUUGUACCUGGUGGCGAGCGGCGGACGGGUGAGUAAUGCCUAGGAAUCUGCCUGGUAGUGGGGGAUAACGUUCGGAAACGAACGCUAAUACCGCAUACGUCCUACGGGAGAAAGCAGGGGACCUUCGGGCCUUGCGCUAUCAGAUGAGCCUAGGUCGGAUUAGCUAGUUGGUGAGGUAAUGGCUCACCAAGGCGACGAUCCGUAACUGGUCUGAGAGGAUGAUCAGUCACACUGGAACUGAGACACGGUCCAGACUCCUACGGGAGGCAGCAGUGGGGAAUAUUGGACAAUGGGCGAAAGCCUGAUCCAGCCAUGCCGCGUGUGUGAAGAAGGUCUUCGGAUUGUAAAGCACUUUAAGUUGGGAGGAAGGGCAGUUACCUAAUACGUAAUUGUUUUGACGUUACCGACAGAAUAAGCACCGGCUAACUCUGUGCCAGCAGCCGCGGUAAUACAGAGGGUGCAAGCGUUAAUCGGAAUUACUGGGCGUAAAGCGCGCGUAGGUGGUUCGUUAAGUUGGAUGUGAAAUCCCCGGGCUCAACCUGGGAACUGCAUUCAAAACUGUCGAGCUAGAGUAUGGUAGAGGGUGGUGGAAUUUCCUGUGUAGCGGUGAAAUGCGUAGAUAUAGGAAGGAACACCAGUGGCGAAGGCGACCACCUGGACUGAUACU